AUGGCAGUAAAGAAACAUCUUUUCCGUUUCGGAUCCUUAGCGAUAAAGGACGGCUCGGAGAUACGCUUCUGGGAGAACAAGUGGCUAGGAAAUACCACUCUCCGAGAACAGUACCCAGCCUUGUACCGCAUUGUAUGCGAUAAGAACGAUACUCUUGCGCAUGUGAUGACCACUUCUCCGCCAGAUAUAUCAUUUCGGAGGGAUUUGGUUGGGACCCGUCUUGUAUCAUGACAACAUCUUCUAUCCCGUUUGGAUUCGAUUAACUUGACACAAGGCCGGGAUGUCUUUCGCUGGAAUCUUACUACAUUUGAAGGUUUUCAUUAG
rnacentral:rRNA from 1 species